AAAAAGUCGGAUAAACAUGGCGGAUCUGAAAUAUUAUAUAAAGUCAUUAUAAAUGGUCACGACUAAAAGGUGCGCUUGGGGGACGUGCAAAAACGAUACACGAUAUCCACAACGGAUUAAACGCAACAGUAAUGGAGACGAAGUCUCCUUUUUACAUUUUCCUGGUGCUAAAUAUCACAACACCAAGCGAGAACGUUGGAUUCGUGCAUGUAAUAGACAUGAUGAUUUUAACUGUACAAACCAUAGCUACAUAUGCAGCCUGCAUUUUGUUGGAGGAAAUGGUCCUACUUAUCAACAUCCAGACCCUACACAAGCAGUGGAAUGUAGGGCCAGGCGAAUUUAUGUAAGUUAUGAA